AGGACGAACGCUGGCGGCGUGCUUAACACAUGCAAGUCGAGCGGUAAGGCCUUUCGGGGUACACGAGCGGCGAACGGGUGAGUAACACGUGGGUGAUCUGCCCUGCACUUCGGGAUAAGCCUGGGAAACUGGGUCUAAUACCGGAUAUGACCUCCUAUCGCAUGGUGGGUGGUGGAAAGAUUUAUCGGUGCAGGAUGGGCCCGCGGCCUAUCAGCUUGUUGGUGGGGUAAUGGCCUACCAAGGCGACGACGGGUAGCCGACCUGAGAGGGUGACCGGCCACGACUGGGACUGAGACACGGCCCAGACUCCUACGGGAGGCAGCAGUGGGGAAUAUUGCACAAUGGGCGAAAGCCAGAUGCAGCGACGCCGCGUGAGGAUGACGGCUCGGUUGUAAACCUCUUUCAGCAGGACGAAGCGCAAGUGACGGUACCUGCAGAAGAAGCACCGGCUAACUACGUGCCAGCAGCCGC
rnacentral:rRNA from 1 species